UCCAGCUCUAAUAGCGUAUAUUAAAGUUGUUGCAGUUAAAAAGCUCGUAGUUGGAUUUUGGUGUCGGACAGGCGGUCGGCUUUUGUCGUACUGCCCUUCUGACGCCUUCCUUCUGUGGACUGCGUCACUCUUUACUGAGGGGCGUGUGGACGCAGAUCGUUUACUGUGAGUAAAUUAGAGUGUUCAAAGCAGGCCUUACGCUUGAAUACAUUAGCAUGGAAUAAUAGAAUAGGACGUCGGGCCUAUUUUGUUGGUUUAGGGACCGUCGUAAUGGUUAAUAGGGACAGUUGGGGCCGUUCAUAUUCCGUAGUCAGAGGUGAAAUUCUUGGAUUUACGGAAGAUGAACUACUGCGAAAGCAUUCGGCAAGGAUGUUUUCGUUAAUCAAGAACGAAAGUUAGGGGAUCGAAGACGAUCAGAUACCGUCGUAGUCUUAACCAUAAACUAUGCCGACUCGGGAUCAGCAAGUGUCGUUCACGACCUCGCUGGCACCGUGUGAGAAAUCAAAGUCUUUGGGUUCCGGGGGGAGUAUGGUCGCAAGGCUGAAACUUAAAGGAAUUGACGGAAGGGCACCACCAGGAGUGGAGCCUGCGGCUUAAUUUGACUCAACACGGGGAAACUCACCAGGUCCAGACAUAGCGAGGAUUGACAGAUUGACAGCUCUUUCUUGAUUCUAUGGGUGGUGGUGCAUGGCCGUUCUUAGUUGGUGGAGUGAUUUGUCUGGUUAAUUCCGAUAACGAACGAGACCUCAGCCUACUAAAUAGUAACGCCUGCUUCGGCAGGUGGAUUACUUCUUAGAGGGACUUUUCGAGUCAUCGAAAGGAAGUUUGAGGCAAUAAC
rnacentral:rRNA from 1 species